UUCACGUCGACCCCACUGAGGGAAAAAGAGAGUUCACGUCGACCCACUGAGGGAAAAAGAGAGUUCACGUCGACCCACUGAGGGAAAAAGAGAGUUCACGUCGACCCCACUGAGGGAAAAAGAGAGUUCACGUCGACCCCACUGAGGGAAAAAGAGAGUUCACGUCGACCCCACUGAGGGAAAAAGAGAGUUCACGUCGACCCCACUGAGGGAAAAAGAGAGUUCACGUCGACCCCACUGAGGGAAAAAGAGAGUUCACGUCGACCCCACUGAGGGAAAAAGAGAGUUCACGUCGACCCACUGAGGCAAAAAAAGGACAAUGUCAGAGUUCAUUUCAAUAAGAGAAAAGCUGCGAAAUGGAGAGUUCAAAAUAAAGAGAAGGGAGGACCAGGACAGUCAGGUUUAGAGAAGGGAGCACCAGGACAGUCAGGUUUAGAGACGGGACAGUCAGGUUUGGAGAAGGGAGGACCAGAACAGUCAGGUUUAGAGAAGGGAGGACCAGGACAGUCAGGUUUGGAGAAGGGAGGACCAGGACAGUCAGGUUUAGAGACAGGACAGUCAGGUUUGGAGAAGGGAGGACCAGAACAGUCAGGUUUAGAGAAGGGAGGACCAGAACAGUCAGGUUUAGAGAAGGGAGGACCAGAACAGUCAUGUUUAGAGACAGGACAGUCAGGUUUAGAGACGGGACAGUCAGGUUUGGAGAAGGGAGGACCAGAACAGUCAGGUUUAGAGAAGGGAGGACCAGAACAGUCAGGUUUAGAGACAGGACAGUCAGGUUUAGAGACGGGACAGUCAGGUUUGGAGAAGGUAGGACCAGAACAGUCAGGUUUAGAGAAGGGAGGACCAGAACAGUCAGGUUUAGAGAAGGGAGGAC